UGGCAUCACAUAUGUUCCAAGAGUUAUAUGAACUUUGCAUUUUGUAGCUAUAAAUAUAUGUUGAGCGAAACUCUGAACUAUUGGAGGAAACCAAAACACCAUGUUUUGACUUCCACAUGUAGAAUUGAUAAGUAACAUGUCUUCUUGAGGAUGAAGUAGGUGUUGCAGUUGCUGGAGUACCCAAACCUGACGUAGCUGGAGACGACGCUCAAGACGAUCGAGGCCUUGCUGCCGAUCGUCUUUGCUAGGGAGACACGACACUUGAAUGAGUGCCUCGUCGAUACCGUCAUGGGUCGUGCCUUCCUCUUCUAGGGUGACAACUAAGCUGAAAGCUUCAAAGAGUUCAACAUCGACAACAUAUGUGGCACCAUCUGCGUCCUCCUACAGAUAUUUGUCGUGCUCACGUUCGGUACCCAAAUGCCCGUGAACCGUGGUCAAGAUACCCCAUCUACACCAUGAGCAGAGACAACACGCAAAAUGAGAUUCCUUUCGCUUUUGAUCAAACAAUACGAUAAAUGAAAUUCGAUUU